rnacentral:misc_RNA from 1 species
GAUGAAGAACGCAUCGAAAUGCGAUAAGUAAUGUGAAUUGCAGAAUUCAGUGAAUCAUCGAGUCUUUGAACGCACAUUGCGCCCCCUGGUAUUCCGGGGGGCAUGCCUGUCCGAGCGUCAUUGCUGCCCUCAAGCACGGCUUGUGUGAUGGGCCUCCGUCCUCCUCCCGGGGGACGGGCCCGAAAGGCAGCGGCGGCACCGCGUCCGGUCCUCGAGCGUAUGGGGCUUCGUCACCCGCUCUUGUAGGCCCGGCCGGCGCUUGCCGACACAUCAAUCUUUUUUCCAGGUUGACCUCGGAUCAGGUAGGGAUACCCGCUGAACUUAAGCAUAUCAAUAAGCGGAGGA